rnacentral:misc_RNA from 1 species
CGAAAUGCGAUAAGUAAUGUUAAUUGCAGAAUUCAGUGAAUCAUCGAAUCUUUGAACGCACCUUGCGCUCCUUGGUAUUCCUUGGAGCAUGCCUGUUUGAGUAUCAUGAAAUCUUCAAAGUAAAUCUUUUGUUAACUCAAUUGGUUUCUACUUUGGUAUUGGAGGUCUUUGCAGCUUCACACCUGCUCCUCUUUGUUCAUUAGCUGGAUCUCAGUGUUAUGCUUGGUUCCACUCGGCGUGAUAUGUUAUCUAUCGCUGAGGACACUGUAAAAGGUGGCCAAGGUAAAUGCAGAUGAACCGCUUCUAAUAGUCCAUUGACUUGGACAAUACUUUUAUGAUCUGAUCUCAAAUCAGGUAGGACUACCCGCUGAACUUAAGC